rnacentral:rRNA from 1 species
AGUGAACGCUGGCGGUAGGCCUAACACAUGCAAGUCGAACGGCAGCACAGGAGAGCUUGCUCUCUAGGUGGCGAGUGGCGGACGGGUGAGGAAUACAUCGGAAUCUGCCCAGUCGUGGGGGAUAACGUAGGGAAACUUACGCUAAUACCGCAUACGACCUUCGGGUGAAAGAGGGGGAUCGCAAGACCUCUCGCGAUUGGAUGAGCCGAUGUCGGAUUAGCUAGUUAGCGGGGUAAUGGCCCACCAAGGCGACGAUCCGUAGCUGGUCUGAGAGGAUGAUCCGCCCCCCUGGAACUGGGCACCGGCCCAGCCUCCUACGGGGGGCAGCGGGGGGGAAUUUUGGCAAAGGGGCGCAAGCCUGAUCCAGCCAUCCCGGGGGGGUGAAGAAGGCCUUCGGUUUGUAAAGCCCUUUUUUUGGGAAAGAAAUCUUUCAGGCUAAUACCCUGGGGGGAUGACGGUACCCAAAGAAUAAGCCCCGGCUAACUUCGU